rnacentral:rRNA from 1 species
GACGUAGGGGGCGAGCGUUGUCCGGAAUUACUGGGCGUAAAGAGCUCGUAGGCGGCCUGUUAAGUCGGAUGUGAAAGCCCCCGGCUCAACCGGGGAAUUGCAUCCGAUACUGGCAGGCUAGAGUCUGGUAGAGGGAGGUGGAAUUCCCGGUGUAGCGGUGAAAUGCGCAGAUAUCGGGAGGAACACCGGUGGCGAAGGCGGCCUCCUGGGCCAUGACUGACGCUGAGGAGCGAAAGCUGGGGGAGCGAACAGG